UACAGAGGGUGCGAGCGUUGUUCGGCAUUAUUGGGCGUAAAGGGCGCGUAGGCGGUGCGGUAAGUCACCUGUGAAAUCCCCAGGCUUAACCUGGGGCCUGCAGGCGAAACUGCCGUGCUGGAGUAUGGGAGAGGUGCGUGGAAUUCCCGGUGUAGCGGUGAAAUGCGUAGAGAUCGGGAGGAACACCAGUGGCGAAGGCGACUUCCUGGCCUGUUCUUGACGCUGAGGCGCGAAAGCUAGGGUAGCAAACGGG
rnacentral:rRNA from 1 species